AAAGGCGGGGGACCGUAAGGCCUCGCGCGAUUGGAGCGGCCGAUGGCAGAUUAGGUAGUUGGUGGGGUAAAAGGCUCACCAAGCCUGCGAUCUGUAGCUGGUCUGAGAGGACGACCAGCCACACUGGAACUGAGACACGGUCCAGACUCCUACGGGAGGCAGCAGUGGGGAAUUUUGGACAAUGGGCGCAAGCCUGAUCCAGCCAUUCCGCGUGCAGGAUGAAGGCCUUCGGGUUGUAAACUGCUUUUGUACGGAACGAAAAGGUUUCCUUAAUACGGAGAGCUCAUGACGGUACCGUAAGAAUAAGCACCGGCUAACUACGUG
rnacentral:rRNA from 1 species